GGAAGUGGACACAGGGUUAAAUGUCUGGAGAACAGUGUUCCGAUUCAUUCUCCAUCAACUGGACGCUGAAUUAAUCGACUGAGACGUUCUGUUGUGAAAUGUUUACCUGAUGUUUUUCUUCUGACUUUUACUUCAACCGUUGAUAUUUUUCUUCUGAAAGGCAAAAAUAUGCUCGUCAUUCCAGUUUACCCUCUUGUGUUGGUUGGAAUCAUUGUUCUAUGUCUGUUUUCAUUUGCUAUUUGGUUAAUGUGCUAUGAGACCGUGGUUAAUAGAAAGUUGAUAACGGAAUCAACUCGUGCUUCUUCCCGACCCCAGGGCCUUACCCGACCCCAGGGCCUUACAGCAGGUAGAACACAGCUAGCAACAAACCGGGUUCCACCUACUGAUGUUAACGGACGGGGUGCUACCAGAACUUCCCACCGCAUCAGACCUGGGCGCGGUGACGUAACUUCUACUGAUGCUAGGGUACACCGUACUAUGGCCAGUCCCAAUAACACAGAUAAUGGACGCCUUAGAAAUGGACAGCGAAUUCUUUACUCUGGGGAAAGUUAUAUCGAACAAUCAGCCGACAGGACAAAAUAACUCAUCAUUUGUGAUGGAAACUGAGAGGGACGAACAACGUCAAAUUCAGGGAGGACUGGUUGGUCUGCCAAGUUAUAAUGAGGCGACCAAAUCGAAAAUAAGUCCGGGUUUGGAUGCCCCUCCGAAAUACGAGGAUUUGGAUUUUGAUCUGCACGAUACGUCAUAGAUAUUUAUCUCAAUGUGAAGGACAUUCAAUAAUUACAAUGACAGAAGGACUUCGUCAUUCCUUGCCAGAGCCAUAUGUACAUUCUUUACUUUUUCCACCAUCAUUUACUGAUUUUUCAACUGUUUUACCUGUGAGUUCCAUGUCGCCGUGGGGUGUGAGUUCUCUGUGACACCUCGGAUGUGAGUUGUCUGUGACCGUCUAGGUUGUGAGUUGUCUGUGACCGUCUAGGUUGUGAGUUGUCUGUGACCGUCUAGGUUGUGAGUUGUCUGUGACCGUCUAGGGUGUGAGUUGUCUGUGACCGUCUAGGUUGUGAGUUGUCUGUGACCGUCUAGGUUGUGAGUUGUCUGUGACCGUCUAGGGUGUGAAUUGUCUGUGACCGUCUAGGGUGUGAAUUCUCUGUCACCCCUCGGGUGUGAGUUGUCUGUCACCGUCUAGGGUGUGAGUUGUCUGUGACCGUCUAGGAUGUGAGUUGUCUGUGACCGUCUAGGGUGUGAGUUGUCUGUGACCGUCUAGGAUGUGAGUUGUCUGUGACCGUCUAGGGUGUGAGUUCUCUGUGACCGUCUAGGAUGUGAGUUGUCUGUGACCGUCUAAGGUGUGAGUUGUCUGUGACCGUCUAGGGUGUGAGUUGUCUGUGACCGUCUAGGAUGUGAGUUGUCUGUGACCGUCUAGGGUGUGAGUGUGCGUUAACAGUGAAAUAGAUCAUUAUUCUAUUAUUCUAAGCGCAUUUUUUUCAAACUGAGACGGGUAUAGAUAUUCAACAAUCGGGGAGAUGUUUAUUAUAACUGUCAUUUUGUGAUCGUACUACACAUAUUGACAAAUCUAUUCAUGUUUAUUUAAAUAUUUAUGGCAAUCUGUAUGUAUAUAAAUUUGUAGCGUACAUGUAGGUGUUGCUUUUGUGACAUGUAACAGAAAAGUGUAUCUACUGAGAGAGACAUUUUGACCUUGUUUGGUUAUAUGUUAAAACAAAUCUCAUGACUUACAGAACACCAAAGAAAUCGAAAAAUUAUAUUGUCUUCACAUCAACAAAGAUAUUGUAACCGGUAGGAUUUAUGACAGAAUUUGCACUUUUUGUAACAGUGGUGAAAUUGAAGACGAAUAUAUCAUUUAAGUAUAAAGUAAUUAACUAGAUACCGGGGCAUUAGAAAAGAUUUUAUCAAACGUAUUACGGUAAAAAAAAACCUAGCUGGCGUAAUUCAUACAACUUUUGGAAAUGAUAUAAAGAUUUGUCAAAUUUUGGAAAAUACAUUAUCCUCGGUAACAAAAUAUGAAUAGUUUAACAUAAAUGAAUCACUCGCUAAACUAACGCUGCGGUCGUUUAUGGUUGAACUGAAUAUGAGACGAGCUCAGAUGACAUUGAGUACCUCUCACCACUGUCUACCUUAGUCAUAACGCUAGAUUGCUUUAUUACUAUUAAUCACAGUCUAAUCAUCGAGACUACAUCGGCUAAGAUGUACAUCAAGUAUCAAUAAAAUACGAGGUGAACUGAUAAUGUCAUCGGAAAGAUGAAAAAUUGUACAUCCUGUUAACUGGAGGAUGAAAAAGUAAACGUGAUGUUAGCGGGAGGAUGAAAUAGUGAACAUGAUGUUGGCGAGAGGAUGAAAAAGUAAACGUGAUGAAAGCGGGAGGAUGAGAUAGUGAACAUGAUGUUAGCGGGAGGAUGAAAUAGUAAACGUGAUGAAAGCGGGAGGAUGAAAAAGUGAACGUGAUGAAAGCGGGAGGAUGAGAUAGUGAACAUGAUGUUAGCGGGAGGAUAAAAUAGUAAACGUGAUGAAAGCGGGAGGAUGAAAAAGUAAACGUGAUGAAAGCGGGAGGAUGAAAUAGUGAACGUGCUGUUAGCGGGAGGUUGAAAUAGUAAACGUGAUAUCUGCGGGAUAAUAAAAUAGUAAACGUGAUAUUUGCGGGAGAAUAAAAUAGUAAACGUGAUAUUUGCGGGAGCAUGAAUUAGUAAACGUGAUAUUUGCGGGGAAUGAAAUAGUAAACGUGAUAUUUGCGGGAGAAUGAAAUAGUAAACGUGAUGAAAGCGGAGGAUGAGAUAGUGAACAUGAUGUUAGCGGGAGGAUGAAAUAUUAAACGUGAUGAAAGCAGAGAAUGAGAUAGUGAACAUGAUGUAAGCGGGAGGAUUAAAUAGUAAACGUGCUGUUAGCGGGAGGAUGAAAUAGUGGACAGGAUGUGAGCGGGAGGAUGAAAUAGUGGACAGCAUGUGAGCGGGAGGAUGAAAUAGUGAACAUGAUGUUAGCGGAAGGAUGAAAUAGUGAACAUGAUGUUAGCGGGAGGAUGAAAUAGUGCACAUGAUGUUAACGGGAGGAUUAAAUAGUAAAUGUGCUGUUAGCGGGAGGAUGAAAUAGUAAACGUGAUAUUUUCGGGAGAAUGAAAUAGUAAACGUGAUGAAAGCGGAGGAUGAGAUAGUGAACAUGAUGUUAGCGGGAGGAUGAAAUAGUAAACGUGAUAUUUGCGGGAGAAUGAAAUAGUAAACGUGAUAUUUGCGGGAGAAUGAAAUAGUAAACGUGAUAUUUGCGGGAGAAUGAAAUAGUAAACGUGAUGAUAGCGGAGGAUGAGAUAGUGAACAUGAUGUUAGCGGGAGGA